rnacentral:lncRNA from 1 species
UCCCUUUCACGACAGAUUUGCAAGCUAGAAUCCAAAAACUUCAAUUAGGUUGGAAUCAAUUUCAAAUUUCAAAUCCUCCCUCUCUUCAAUAUCAUAACUCACUUUUCUUUCUCAUGGAUUUCAAUUCUUCUCUCAUCAGCUCUCUCUCAUCCUCUCUGAUAUCUUCACCACCACCAACACCUUCGCUGCCGUCACUUUCUUUCUCAUUGAUUUCAUUAAGUU